CCGCGAGCAUUGCCCAAGGAAACCAACUCGUGGCGCGGCGACCGACGGACGGGUCACUGGGCGCCGGGGCCCACGUCCUUCUUUGCGGCCCUGUUCUUCUUGGCCGCGCCGGCGGAGGAGGAGGCAGCGCCCGACGACGACGGGGCGAAGAGGCGGUCGAUGCCCAAGGCGGCGGCGGACUUGCGGGAGCCGCGGAGCGAGCAGACGGGCACGUUGAGCACGGGCGCCACGCGCACGUGCGCCGAGUACGACCGCUCCAUGGCGCCCGCGCUGCCGCUGCGGUGGCGCCGCCCGCCGGCCAGGCUGCUCGGGCUGCUGGAGCUGCGCCCGAGCCCGUUGAACACCAC
rnacentral:misc_RNA from 1 species